rfam:Hordeum vulgare subsp. vulgare, WGS project CAJW01000000 data, contig: morex_contig_135260
GUUAUACUCCCUCCGUUUCAAAAAAUUUGUCUUAACUUUGUCUAAAAAUGUAUGUAUCUAAAUAUUAAAAUUUGACUAGAUACAUUCAUAUCUAAACAAAUUUAAGAUAAGAAUUUUGAAACGGAUGGAGUAUAUA